CGCUUGCAGAAGUGUAUUUCCCUUUUGUCGAACCAGCCUUUUUCGUUGCCUCGUUCUCUAUGUUUUUUUUCUUGGGAUUACGACCCCCCUCCUCCCCCACUCUCUCUCCUCUGCCCUCUUGUAAGUCAUUCGUGCGUGCUUGCCGGCUCUCGGGUGCAUCCGCUACCGCUACUGCUGCCUGUCGCUCCACCGCCGUCGGCCUCCCGUGUCUCACUCUCUGUGCCACACGACAAGAGCGCUAACACCCCUGCGAACACGCAGCAGCGGUAUCGCACUCGACGGCGACCACUAGGAGGAGCCGCAAAGUGUCGUUAUUGCCUCCUUGCACACAAGCACUCGUUCUCCACACUUACAUCUCCAGUGUAAGCCAUUCCUCCUCGCGAGGCACGCGGUCUACAUAAUACAUAUUUAUCUAUAUAUAUAUACAUGUAUACAAGGAGAGACUAGCGAACGCGGUCACAUCUGCUCGUCUAGUUCUUUUUUUUUUCGUUGUUGUUUGACAGGAGAUUAUAACAUAAAUAGAUCGUUUUGUUUGUGUGUGUGGUCUAUCAAAAGAUUCUCUUCGGCUCUGCGUCUCUGCCGCUGCCCUUUUCACUACUCACUCCCGCACGACCGACCACGAGAGAAGUUGCUCUCUCACGCCAGCCCUCUUUUCUUUUUUUCGCUGUUGUUGCUGUUUUCUCCUUUGGUGAUUUUGCUCUCGCCAAUCGCCUCCGACCACUUUCGUGUGUGCGAGCGCGUGGGCGUGUUCUCCUUUUUUUUUUUGACGUUUAACGUUUUGCAUGUGAACAGAAACGAAAAGAAAAAAAAACAGAUCGACGUCUAAAAUCAGGUGUCCUUCUUUUCCUCCAUCACUUCUCCUUGGCUUUCCUUUCUGUCUUUUCCUAAGCCGUUUCUUCUCUUUUUCUCUCCUUUUUCCCUUUUUUUGGGUGUGCACAAAUUUCUUGUUUUGUUAUAUGCGGCGCUUUCUGUCUUUCCAACUCUCCUUCUCCCCCCUCUCCUCCCCACCACUCCUCACGAUCGAGCACCCGCCAUCAUUUUUUUUUUGUUCAAACCGAUUUCAUUUUUUGGUGGGCUUCUCGCGUGGCGUCAGCGGCGGUGCCUUUGCGGUGCUGCGAAUCGACUCUUUCUGUUUUUUUUUUGUUGUUGAGCUGAGCCGCUCUUUUUUUUUUCUUGUUUGCUUUCCCCAGUCGGGCUCCGCCGUUUAGCUCCGUCAACGCGCCGCCGCACUGCCAAUACUUUUGAGAUCUACUUCGCUGUUGGACGAGAGGGAGGAAUAACCAGCGUCGCGUAUUUCGCUUCGCUUGUUUGGUUCGUUUGCGCUGACCCUUGCGUGCGAUUCUGUGUGGCGUUCUCGAUCCCUCUCUGGCCGACAGUGGCUUGGUUGAUCUCAAUUUCCUUUCUCUUUCUUCGUUUCUCGCUGACAAGAUUUGUGCCUUCUCUUUGGCUUCUAUUCACCUCUUUCUUUACGCGGUGAGGGUUCUCGCGUGUCCCCCGUACGUGCGACGGGCUGCUCUAAAGAUUUCUUGGGCUUGUCGUCCUGUCGUUUUUUCGUGGUGCGGGGGGAGGGGCGUUGUUUUGAGGUUUUCGACCCAAAUCAGAGGAAACAAGUGAAAGAGCAACGAGGGCAUUCACCGCGCUGCUUCUCUUGUGUAGUCCUGCGGCGGGCUCUCUGCCGAGUUUCUCUUUGUCCCCCUCGUCAACGCCGUGUUCUCUUUCCAGCGGUUACGCGCACAGAGAGCCUCACAGGAGGCGGCGACUCCGCAACGGGCGCCACCGACGUUGUCGUUUUUUUUUUAUAUCUUUUCGUUCUCGUUGUCUGUGCGUCACGCGACUAAACGAGCAUAAUGGCGCAAAAGCGGUACGUGGCCCUGGUAGGAGCGUUGGUGCUUGGCGCCACCUCCGCGGUGCUUCUGAUGCGACAGUGGAGAGUGCAGCGCGAGCGCCGCGAGUUUGCGGAGCGGUACGCGAAGCAAAUAAAGGCGGCCCGUGAGGCGCAUGCCCAGUCCUUGAACGGUGGCAGUGCCUCGCCGGACUCAGCGGACAUUAGCGACGCCGACUUCGACGAUGAGGCCGCGGCCGUGAAGGUUAUCUUCGGCAGCGAGUCUGGCAACGCUGAGGGACUGGCGAAGGGCUUCGUCAUGACACUGCGCGACCGCGGCGUCCAGGCCGCGCUCAUCGAUCCUAGCCGGUGGGCGUACAUGGAGGACUACUUGUACCAUAACAAGCGGAACGUGCCGCUGUUUCACCCCAUCAAGGUGGUGUCCACCAACACCAGCUCCGCCGAGAAGGGGAGUCGCAAGACUGCAGAGGAAGCGAACACACCACGUCCGCCGCUGGUGUACAUCUUCAUUGUUGCAACUGCUGGUGAGGGCGAACCGACCGGUAACUUCAUGGCUCUCUUCCAGGAAAUGCAGUCGGCGGUGCGGCGAGCUACCACAGCCAAGGUACCUGCCCAGUCCAGUGCCGUCACCGCAGGUGCGGCGCCGUCGUCGGCUACCGAGGAGGCACCAUUCAAGAAUAUCUACUACGCAGUGUUUGGACUCGGUGACAGCUCCUACAAGUACUACUGCCGCUCCGCCACCGACACGAACACUCUCCUCAAAAAGGGUGGCGGCAUCAACGUGCAUCGUGUCGGCUUCGGCGACGCCCGCCACGGCAUGCAGGAAGACGUCUUCGAUGAGUGGCAGGAGAAGGUGAUGCUCGCGCUGGAAGAGAAGUGUGGGCUGGAGAUGACAACGGGCACGCGUGCGCCGCCAAAGCCCGAGCUCCAGUUCCGCUUCCUGUCUUCCACCGCAGCGACGACGGCAGCCACCACGUCCACCGUCCCUCAGGCGGGCCCCUGCGGAGCCGCCGAGGGCACCGCAGCGCCAAGCACGACCACCAUCACGAACAACGCAGAUCCGAACCGCAGCGUUCUCCUGAGAACGGCAACACCGAGCAGCGCCGUGGCGGCGGAGAGCACGAGCGCUCCGCCCAUCUCGCUCCCGUUUCCGCCGCCACCGGUGCUGCUGGAGCCGUCGCUGAUGAACCCGACAAGGAUCCGCCUCGUAACGAAGACGCAGCUGUCGCCGCCGCGCGACAGCGACGGCAGCAGCGUCUACCGCUUCUGCUUCGAGACGGACGGCACAGGCAUCUCGUACCAGGCCGGUGACCAUCUUGGCAUCUUUCCCACGAGCCCGCCGGAGAUGGUGGCGCGGUGCGCCAAGGCCCUCUCCAUCCCAGCAGGCGAGCUGGAGACACCGGUGGAGCUGUGCGAGAUGGUGCCAUCGCGCGGCAUUUUCCGAAACGUGCUGCCGGCCCGUGUACCUUUGCGCGUUGUGCUGCAACGCUACGUGGACCUGUGCGGCCGUCCAAAGAAGUCGACUCUGCGCGUUCUCGCCAAGUACUGCACUGACCCGGUCCAGCAGGAGGCCUUCCUCGAGCUUCUCCGCCUCCCCGCAGAGAAGGAGGCGGAGGAGGCGGCUGCCGGUAGCUGUGCUGCGUGGAAGCCGAAGAAGCUGCGCACUGUCGUGGACUAUCUCGAGAAGUUCCCUAGCUGCUGCUGCAUUCCGCUGGGCCACUUCAUCGAGGUCAUGCCACGCACGCAGCCGCGCUACUACUCCAUCGCGUCGGACCGGAUGUCCCACGGCACCAAGGUCGAGAUCAUCGUGCGAGUACUCACGGACGGGCUGGCCAGCUCCUACCUCGCCCAUCGCAUCGAGGAAGGGGACGAGGUAUUUGCGUACGUCCGCAUCACCACCUUCCAUCUGCCGCAGCGCAUUGGAGAGAAGCGACCGGUGCUCAUGAUCGGCCCGGGCACCGGUGCUGCCGCUAUGGUAGGGUUUUGCUACAGGAAGGAGGCCCUCAUGCGAAAGCAACCGGCGGCCCAUUACGGCCCGACCGUUUUUCUCUUCGGUGCGCAGCGUCGCCAAACGGAGUACUUUGUGGAGGAAGAGGUCCAGCGCUGGGCUAUGGCGCCGGCCGAGAUGAAGCAAUGGGACGCCGAUCACCCGACCUCCCACGCCGGGCUGGCGGCGCGUCGCAGCAAGACGCACUCGUGGGAGCCACUGCCCGCCUCUGUCAUCACCACCGUUGAUUGCGCCUUUAGUAGAGAUCAAGAGGAGAAGAGGUACGUCACCUCUCUCAUCGACAAGCACAAAGAUCUCAUCUACGAGAUGCUCACGAGCACUGCCGGCGGCGGAUGCCUUGUUUUCUUGUCCGGUGAAGCAUCUGUCAUGGCGAAGGACGUGGACCGGGCACUGGUGGCGCUGCUGCAGGACCGCGGAGGCAUGACACGCCUGGCGGCGCUUGAGUUUCUGCGGCGCAUGGAGAGCGACCACCGCUAUCUCAAGGAUGUGUACUAGACGUCGGCCCAGUCGGCUUCUGCUUCCCCAUUCAGCGCUCACCUGUCUCUGUCUGGGCCCAUGCCCGGAUGAGGGUCGCGCAGGUGGGGCGCGCGUUCUGAAGCCCCCAUCACCUCGCCUCGUUUGCGUGUUCUGUCGCCGCAGCUCUUGUUUGCUUUACUGGGUUUCCACUUCCAUGUUUGUUGGAUGUUUCUCGCCCACCUCUGUCUGUCGCAAGGCCCCUCCCUCUCUCCCUGCGGCGGCGUUAUCUCUCCAUAUAAUGUGUGCUCCUUUUCCUUUCGUUUCAUCCGUUUCUGUGUUUCAUGUUGUUGUGUGGUGGUGUGCGUCCUGCGAUGGCUGUGUGAGCCUCUUGCUCGCUGUUUCCUCUGCGCCUGUGCGCGACGAUAGAAGGAACAUCGAUUUUGCACCUCUUCGCGUGUCGUCUUUUCCCUUGCUUUCUCCUUUCCUUUUCCUACGACGGGUGGCCACGUUAGCUCUUCUCAUACAGGCUCCGUGCUUGUUGCUGCACUCCCCACUCGGCCUGCAAGUGGAUGUGCGCAUGCAUGGCUGUUAGUGUGCGUCGGCGCCGACGUUCCGCCACCCGCUCACCCAUCUGCUUUGCCUCUUCCCUCACCACGCACUCGUGUCAUUAAACUCCACUUCUCUUUGUAUCUUGCCUCCCACCCCUCUCUCUUGCCCCGCCCCCUCUUCCGCGUCUGCCACAUUCUCUCUUCCGGGUUUGCUUGUCCGAGUGAUUUCCUUUCCUGUGUGUAUGUGUGUAUGCGUAUGCGUGUGCGUGUGUGUGCGCGCGCUCUUCCGCUGCUUCGAGGCAGCAGUCCAGCCACUCCUCCUCCUCUUCGUCCGUCCUCGUCCGCGGCCGUGCCGCUUAUGGGGCGGUCGUGAUCGUCCUCUUCGUGGCUUUGUCUCUCUUUUUCUUUUUCGUUCGCUUUCGUUACUGUGCGUGUGCGUCUUUGUGUGUGUGCAGAUGCCGUUGCCUCUUUUCACGACUCUCUUCUCGGUGAUUGAACUCUUUUGUUUUUCCCCUUCGCUCAUCAGACGACGAGAGGCGAACGUCAGCGGCAGUUCGUGUGUCCAUAAGCAACGGGAUGCUACGAGAGGUUUUGGCAGAGGUCCACCAAAGUGCAAGAGCAUGAGUAGGAAAUCGAGCGUAUGUGCUUAGCCUUCUCUGAGUUUGUCCUACUCAUGACUUGUGUCGCGCCGAGACUGCUGUUGGUGUCAUCGACCAUGCAGCCCCAUCGGCUGCUCCUUGGUGCAAUCGCCUUCGUUCUCUUGCCUCUUUUUACUCCCGUCUUUUUUGCGCUUGUGACUUUACCCUUCCGCAGCGACGAUCAUGAUGAUGCUGCCGGCGGCAGUCAUACAAUCCGCUCUGAGCGAUGGCACUGAGUUCAAACAAGUAAGUAAUAUGUACACACACAGCACCAAGAAGGACAUGUUGGUCUUUCAGAGGAAAUGCGAACAUCAUCAUCGAUCUGUGCACCUGUGUUUGCGCCGGUGCCUCGCCGGGCAUAUCCGCAGCUCGGGUGUUCUUUUCCUCCUCUCCAUCGUUCUCGAAUGGCAUCCGGCAGCUUGCUGAGAAGCCGUCCGCGAAGGCUGUGGAAGAGCGUCGUCUGAUGCAUCGUGGUCAGACCUGCGGAGCGCCUCCGUAGCUGGAGUGUUGGUGUGCUUUUAGCCCCCCCCCCUCUUCGUCUCCUUUAUGCCUGAGUUAGCUCACAGCAGAAAACCAGCAAGUUCGCACCUCGACGACCACACGUCACGGCACCUGCUUGGAUUUUCGAUAGAGUGCCAGCGUCGCGCUGUCUCUCUCUCCCGCUCUCGCUCUCUGUGGCACACCAUCCAACGACGAUAACUGCGGUAAACAGGACCGUGUGCUCUGCUUCUUUUCAUUGCUAUUUCUUCCUCUAUUUCUUUCGUUGCUGUUCGAAUUCGAGUAUCAUGUACUGUGAUGAUCAUGUCUUCAUGUCCUUUUCUGUUUCUUCGGCGCCGUGCUGCCUCGUUGUUCGUAAGUCUGUUGUUUGCAUUAUGUGUGCGCGCGCGUGCGUGCAUCUUUGUCCACGCGAUCUCCCUCUUUUUCCUUUCCGACGUCUCUCUUGUAGCGACUGCCUGCCUCUCCGUCCCCCGGCACUUUCUCGGCCCAGUCGUUCCACCACGAGAAAGAGAGAGUUGGGGGCUGGUUCUUCCACAGUGUCGUUAACCGCCACGAUGGCCACGAAAGACUCCAGGCAGACGUG
rnacentral:misc_RNA from 1 species